GUCAAGGAAUGUACUGAAUGUGUUUCACUUUUACACCAUCAUAAAAUUAAAAAGUCGUAAGUCAGGGAAAAUCUGUACUGCAAGAAAAACACUGUUAACCUAGAUAUCUUUGCCUAGUGAAAAUAUCUUUCAGAAAUGAAGAUGAGAUAAAGGCUUUUCAUACCAACAAAAGUGGAAAGAAUUCAUCAUAAGAAGACUUGAGUGAGAAGAAAUGCUAAGAAAGCUCUUCAAGUAGAAGAAAAUGAUACCAGAUGGAAAUCUGGAUCUCCACAAAGGAACAAAAAGUAUUGAGAAUGGGAACUAUCCUAUGUGGAAAAUGGUAACUCAUCAAACCUGCAGCAGAAGGCAACUUUUCAACUCUCAGUCAAUUUGAUCAACAUUCAGCAUCCAUCAAAUGAAGGAUUGGGAGUGAUAACCUUAAAAAAUCCUGCUAGGCUGCUGGUUAUUGAUUCUCUGUUCAGCCUGAUGGAUGAAGAUGCAAAGGCAACAAGUGAAAGUGCAAACCUGGCUGCCGGCCUCCUUCAUACCACGUUAGGUUAGGCAGGACUUGUGUCUGAAAAGCACCAUUGUUAGUUUUACCAAAAAUGCACUGCUGUCAUCACGACCAAUCAGAAUGUCACCCUAGCUGGAGAUCUGCUCCUCCUGGCCUUUCCUUGGGAUUUUCAGAAAAGCUCAGAAAACAAUUUACAAUAAAACUUAAUUACUUUUAG
rnacentral:lncRNA from 1 species